GCCAAAAACUUAGCUCUACUCGCCCAAAUGCACACCCCUUUAUACUUUCACCAAAUAAAACAUUUUCUCCAUUUAGUAAAGGCGAUUAAAAAAUGUCUAGAAGCUAUAGAAUCCAGUACCGCAAGGGAAAAGUGAAAUAUAAAUGAAAUAUUAUAAAGCACAAAACAGCAGAGAUUAUACCUCGUACCUUUUGCAUCAUGGUUUAACUAGUCUAACCAAGCGCAAAGCACUUUAAGUUUGACACCCCGAAACUAGGUGAGCUACUUAAAAACAGCCUUCAGGGCCAACCCGUCUCUGUUGCAAAAGAGUGGGAAGAUUUUUUAGUAGAGGUGACAGACCUACCGAACCUAGAGAUAGCUGGUUAUUCAAGAAAAGGAUUUAAGUCCUACCUUAGGUUUCACGUACACUUUAAUACACAACAAACCUUAAGAGCUAUUCAAAUAAGGUACAGCCUAUUUGAAACAGGAUACAACCUCACCCAAUGGGUAACUAAUUUUAUAAUCAACCAAGUGGGCCUAAAAGCAGCCAUCUUACAGAAAGCGUUAAAGCUUCAUUGUAUUAACCAAAAAUUCCACCAACCAACCACAACCCUUAUUCUCAUAUUGAAUGACUUCAUAACACUAUGAAGAACUAUAUGUUAAAACUAGUAACAAGAAGAAGCCCUUCUCCAAAAUGUAAGCUUGAGCCACAAUGAACAAAUCACUGGCAUUUAAAGUCUAUAAACCUCUAUUAGCAACUCAACCUAGAAAACCCUACUUAUUAGUACGUCAACCUUACACCAGCACAUUUCUGGAAAGACUAAAAGAAUAGGAAGGAACUCGGCAAAUAACUAACCCCGCCUGUUUACCAAAAACAUCGCCUUCUGAUACUCAUAGAAGGUCCAGCCUGCCCAGUGACUAAGUUAAACGGCCGCGGUACCCUAACCGUGCAAAGGUAGCGCAAUCACUUGUUCUUUAAAUGAGGACUAGUAUGAACGGCAUCACGAGGGUUACACUGUCUCCCUAUUCCAUUCAGUGAAACUGAUCUUCCCGUGAAGAAGCGGGAAUAUAAAUAUAAGACGAGAAGACCCCAUGGAGCUUUAAACUCAGUGUCAUCUGCCACUUCAAUACCCUCUUAAUUACGCAGACCAUGAUAACUAGUUUUCGGUUGGGGUGACCGCGGAGUAAAACAAAACCUCCACAACGAAAGGAACUAACAACCUAAUCCAAGAGCAACAUCUCUAAGAAUCAACAAAUUGACUUAAUUGAUCCAAUUACUUGAUCAACGAACCAAGUUACCCUGGGGAUAACAGCGCAAUCCAUUUCAAGAGCUCAUAUCGACAAAUGGGUUUACGACCUCGAUGUUGGAUCAGGGUAUCCCAGUGGCGCAGCAGCUACUAACGGUUCGUUUU
rnacentral:rRNA from 1 species